rnacentral:rRNA from 1 species
AUUGAACGCUGGCGGCAGGCCUAACACAUGCAAGUCGAGCGGAUGAAGGGAGCUUGCUCCUGGAUUCAGCGGCGGACGGGUGAGUAAUGCCUAGGAAUCUGCCUGGUAGUGGGGGAUAACGUCCGGAAACGGGCGCUAAUACCGCAUACGUCCUGAGGGAGAAGGUGGGGGAUCUUCGGACCUCACGCUAUCAGAUGAGCCUAGGUCGGAUUAGCUAGUUGGUGGGGUAAAGGCCUACCAAGGCGACGAUCCGUAACUGGUCUGAGAGGAUGAUCAGUCACACUGGAACUGAGACACGGUCCAGACUCCUACGGGAGGCAGCAGUGGGGAAUAUUGGACAAUGGGCGAAAGCCUGAUUCAGCCAUGCCGCGUGUGUGAAGAAGGUCUUCGGAUUGUAAAGCACUUUAAGUUGGGAGGAAGGGCAGUAAGUUAAUACCUUGCUGUUUUGACGUUACCAACAGAAUAAGCACCGGCUAACUUCGUG